UUUAAGUAUAAGCUGUGCUCCAUACGGAGCUUUGGAGAGAGACUUGGCAUUUUCAAGAGGAAAGUGGGGGCAAAGCAGGGGGAGCAAGCAAAUAGCAUUUGGGAGAGUCGGGAUGAGAAAUUCCCAAAGGUUUUCUGAACAUGCCUGGGACGGUGUGCCGAGAACUGCUGUAAAAUUAAGGAAUGUAACCAGCUUCAUGCCUGCAGCCGGGCACACGUUUCUGUGAUGAGAGCAGUGACUUGGAAGUGUCCUCUUCAAAACCACUCUCCUGACCACCUUGCUGAACAUUUUCCAGGAAGGAAAGCCCCAUCCGAAGAGGCUGACUCCCUUCAGACUCCGGCCAUCUUCAUCUUGACCUGGAAGUGAAUCUGUCAGAUGCAGUGUGGAGCCAGUACCAAGCUUCUCCUGGGGAAGAUGUUCCCAACACUCCAGAGAACAGUGGUGGUUUCAUUCGUGAAGGCUUUGAUGUAGACAGCACUCCCAAGAUUCCAGGUUUUCCAUUGAUUGUAACCUUUUCCCAUAGAAACUGUUCCUGUUCUCAAAUAGGAAAGAAAAACUCUAAACUAGGAAGAAACUCAGCCCUAGGUAAAUGUCAGAGAAGGUGCCUGCAAAAAUCCCAGAAUCAAAAGUUCUGUCUUCGGGGCUGGCAAGAUGGCGUGGGGACGGUAAAGGCACCGGUUGCCAA